AUCACUUGUGAUGAUCAAAACAAUACUUUCAUUAUUAGGAGAUUUUAGAUGUGAAAAAACUUUGAAGACCUAAACUUAAGAGAU